CCCUUAGAUGUUCUGGGCGGCCCGCGCACUACAAUGGCGCUUUCAGCGAGUUCCUAUGUUGAAUUUUCCUGGGUAUUCUCGGAAGCGGCGUCUUGACUUGGGAUAGAUCCUUGUAAUUGUUGGUUUUGAACGAGGAAUUCCUUGUAAUCGCGGUUGAUCAGCUCGCGUUGAAUACGUCCCUGCCCUUUGUACACACCGCCCGUCGCUCCUACCGAUGAAUCGUCCGGUGAAGUUCACAGAGUGGCGGUUCGUGGAGUUGCUCGCGAAGUGAAAUGGACCUCACGAUUUGGAGGAAGGAGAAGUCGUAACA
rnacentral:rRNA from 1 species